rnacentral:lncRNA from 1 species
GAAUUUCGUACGAACUUGAAUUGUCCAAUUUCAUUGGCCAAUCAAUAUCGGAUUAAGGCCAAAACUUUAUCAAAAUCAUAAUAUGGCGGGAGGAGUCAUUUGGUGAGUUUUGGGUGAAAUCCAUUCCCUUAAACCAUAGCACUCCAUUUACAGAACGAAGUUAUUACGAACUUGAAAUGCCCAAUUUGUUUGGCCAAUUCACAUCGGAUUGAGCCCAAAACUUGGUCAACAUCAUAAUAUGGUGGACGAGUCAUUUGGUGAGUUUUGCG